AACGAACGCUGGCGGCAUGCCUAACACAUGCAAGUCGAACGAGACCUUCGGGUCUAGUGGCGCACGGGUGCGUAACGCGUGGGAACCUGCCUUUAGGUUCGGAAUAACUCAGAGAAAUUUGAGCUAAUACCGGAUGAUGUCUUCGGACCAAAGAUUUAUCGCCUUUAGAUGGGCCCGCGUUGGAUUAGCUAGUUGGUGGGGUAAAGGCCUACCAAGGCGACGAUCCAUAGCUGGUCUGAGAGGAUGAUCAGCCACACUGGGACUGAGACACGGCCCAGACUCCUACGGGAGGCAGCAGUGGGGAAUAUUGGACAAUGGGCGAAAGCAUGAUCCAGCAAUGCCGCGUGAGUGAUGAAGGCCUUAGGGUUGUAAAGCUCUUUUACCCGAGAUGAUAAUGACAGUAUCGGGAGAAUAAGCCCCGGCUAACUACGUG
rnacentral:rRNA from 1 species